UGGGAGAGUUUGCCUACGUGGGUCUUACAUGCUAAUGUCAUGGAUACGGAUGGCUGAACUGAGAUACUAAUGAAGAAUGGUUUCUGAAGGACGCUUUAGGAAGUGUUGGUGUCUGCUAGACCCUCUGGCUGAAUGCGCCAUGAACGCCUCAAACCGGCAGGCUCCCUUGGUACCGUGCCGAGGUCUCACGGCGCCUUUCCCUGGCGCUCCUGCCAUCUGCGGUGAGAAGAGCAAGCUGGAGAUGCUGGAGGUGGCUGUUAGCUUUCCACCUGGAUCCCUGGAUGGGCGAUGCUUGGCGCCUACCCGAGUUUGCCCAGCUGAGUGAGCUCGAGCCCAGGGGACCCACAGACGCACAAACAGGACGGACGGGCGUGUGACGUAAGCCGCUGGGACAUCUGCUCACUCUGUCUCCUCGCUUGCCCCCAUCCAGCUGGCCCGUUUCACCUCCCACAUCCGUCCUGAUUAUCUCCUUUCCCAUCGCCGCCGUCGCUGGCCAGGCUUAUUUUUAACCAUCAAGACUGUCACAAGGCUCGUUCCUGAUGUCCCCGUGUUCGGUCUUGGGCUCUCCAGGCUAAUCUCUGCACACCGGCAGAGGUGAUGCUCCUAAACUCCAGUCCCAUCCCAGCCACGAGGGCUUGCGCCAUCGCUCUCAGAGAAGCACCCACACUCACGGCGCGCGAGGGCCUCGGCGCUGCUUCGGGAAGCUCUAGAUCUCUGUUCUUCUGGUCCCUUCUGACCUCCGUGCCCUUUCUUGCUCAGGUCCUCCCGCCUUGCCUUCUCCCCUUGCCUGGGCCGUGUCUGCCCUCUCCUGUCUCAUCUCUUGGGUGCCAACCCGCAAACGGUUCCCUGGAGGGAAUCCCCGAUCACCCCGGACGGCCCGGGUGACGUUCACGUUCCAUGCACUUGCGCAGUAGCCCUGGCUCUCCACCAGACCCCCACAGAAGGACGGAUGAUGUCCGGCAUGUCAAGUGGUUAGACCGGGUCGGCGGUCCGUUCUCUGAACCCACGACCCGCUUGUUGAAGCGAGUGCUCUGUGGAAAUGACGGGAGCGGGCUGGGUAAUGUCAAGGUGGGAAUGAAAACCGAGGAACCCAGAUGGAGGAACUGAGGCACAGGGAGAGCUGAGGUUGCAGUCCUGGGGGGCGUCUGUGGGAGACGUGGAAACGGGGGGGCUCUAAUGGGGACCCUGGGUGCAUUGCUUGCUUGCUGCCUGGCUUACCUUCGACUAGAGGGUGCUUUGCCUUCAGCAGCUCCCUGAAGGGAGUUAUUAGAUUCUUGGGUCCUUCCCUUGACACCCCCUAAAGUAGCUGAUUCGGAGUUUUCAUUCUGGUGAGAUUUCCAGGGACUUUGCAGACAAAAUAGAGAUAACGGAAGUCUCUUUCGGUGAGCCAGAGGACGGCUAGUCUGGCUUUAGAAUCCCACUGAUUUUUAUGAAGACAGGAAAAGGAAAGCAAAACAACACCCUUGGCCAGCAUCUUAUGCAUUUAGCACACACACUGUGGAGGAAGUAAAAAAAUGUGCCCCCCCCAGGUGUUCCAGAUAGACCGGAAGCCCAGGGCCUAGAAUGAUGGAGGGGGGCGGGGAGUUCAACUCCAGCUAAACUGAUGCUGAAUAAAAAGGCCCUGAACAAGGAGAGAGUUUCAGAACCCUGGCUGAAAGGCUAUUUGCCAUGCUGGACGGCACAGAUUGCCAACCAGCUAUGUGUCGACUACGUUCAAACACUGUAGGCUCGGGUGUCUGUUUCUACAGAUGCGUCUUGGCUUGCUCCUUGUGGUGGUGGUAGUCAUACUCGACUGACUACGCUGUAAUCUGGCUCCUCCUGUUUGGCCAGCACAAUGUGUAGCAAGGACGACAGAGUCAGGUCACUCACGGGAGGAGGCAGUCUCGGGGAGGUGACUCAAACAGGAGAGAAAAGCUACAUGCACAGAAGUGUCUGUUACAGCCGAAAGUGGAAAAUACCGAGGGCUGUGAGUAGAAUGGUGACAGAGUGUCUAUGUGAGGACUGUCCCACACUCCUGGGCCCUAGUUCACCUGCCUGGGGCCCAGGGGUUAAUAAGAACAUGGCCUCUGGGACGUAGUUCUCUAUUGUCUGACUCUGGGAAAGCUGUCUUAGCUGCUGUGUGCCUCCAUUUCCUCAUCUGGAGAAAGGGAGUGAUAACAGUAUCUACUCCAGGGGGCUACCGGGAAGGUCAAACGACUUAAUCACAUUCAUUAAAGGAGCUUGUAAUAGCGCCUCUCCCUAGAUGCAUAUGGCCGUCUUAAUAUGCCAAGACACCGGCCUGCCAUGCCCACCUCCUCUGUUACAAGGCUCUUUCUUCCCAACCUCAGGUUUCAUCUCCUGAGAUAAAACCAAGAAGACCGGUAGGACAUUCCCUAGCCCUAUUUGUAGUCAGUAUAGCUCUCACCCCCUUUUCUUUCCAGGCUAAGGAGAGAGAAUAAAUGAGUGUGCUCAACCA